GAUGAACGCUGGCGGCGUGCCUAAUACAUGCAAGUCGAGCGAACGGACGAGAAGCUUGCUUUUCUGAUGUUAGCGGCGGACGGGUGAGUAACACGUGGAUAACCUACCUAUAAGACUGGGAUAACUUCGGGAAACCGGAGCUAAUAUCGGAUAAUAUUUUGAACCGCAUGGUUCAAAAGUGAAAGACGGUCUUGCUGUCACUUAUAGAUGGAUCCGCGCUGCAUUAGCUAGUUGGUAAGGUAACGGCUUACCAAGGCAACGAUGCAUAGCCGACCUGAGAGGGUGAUCGGCCACACUGGAACUGAGACACGGUCCAGACUCCUACGGGAGGCAGCAGUAGGGAAUCUUCCGCAAAGGGCGAAAGCCUGACGGAGCAACGCCGCGUGAGUGAUGAAGGUCUUCGGAUCGUAAAACUCUGUUAUUAGGGAAGAACAUAUGUGUAAGUAACUGUGCACAUCUUGACGGUACCUAAUCAGAAAGCCACGGCUAACUACGUG
rnacentral:rRNA from 1 species